rnacentral:rRNA from 1 species
AGUCGACGGUGAAGCCCAGCUUGCUGGGUGGAUCAGUGGCGAACGGGUGAGUAACACGUGAGCAACCUGCCCCCUACUUCGGGAUAAGCCUUGGAAACGAGGUCUAAUACCGGAUAUGAGCACCUACCGCAUGGUGGGUGUUGGAAAGUUUUUCGGUGGGGGAUGGGCUCGCGGCCUAUCAGCUUGUUGGUGGGGUAAUGGCCUACCAAGGCGUCGACGGGUAGCCGGCCUGAGAGGGCGACCGGCCACACUGGGACUGAGACACGGCCCAGACUCCUACGGGAGGCAGCAGUGGGGAAUAUUGCACAAUGGGCGAAAGCCUGAUGCAGCGACGCCACGUGAGGGAUGACGGCCUUCGGGUUGUAAACCUCUUUCAGCAGGGAAGAAGCGAAAGUGACGGUACCUGCAGAAGAAGCGCCGGCUAACUACGUGCCAGCAGCCGCGGUAAUACGUAGGGCGCAAGCGUUGUCCGGAAUUAUUGGGCGUAAAGAGCUCGUAGGCGGUCUGUCGCGUCUGGUGUGAAAUCCCAUGGCUCAACUGUGGGCUUGCAUCGGGUACGGGCAGACUAGAGUGCUGUAGGGGAGACUGGAAUUCCUGGUGUAGCGGUGGAAUGCGCAGAUAUCAGGAGGAACACCGAUGGCGAAGGCAGGUCUCUGGGCAGUUACUGACGCUGAGGAGCGAAAGCAUGGGGAGCGAACAGGAUUAG